AGAGUUUGAUCCUGGCUCAGAACGAACGCUGGCGGCGUGCUUAACACAUGCAAGUCGAACGUGGUGUUUGGGGCAACUCAAACGCCAAGUGGCGCACGGGUGAGUAACACGUGGGCAACCUGCCCUUCGGAGGGGAACAACCCCGGGAAACCGGGGCUAAUACCGCAUAAGACCACGGACUGGAAUGUUUGUGGUAAAAGGAGCAAUCCACCGGAGGAUGGGCCCGCGGCCUAUCAGGUAGUUGGCGGGGUAAAGGCCCACCAAGCCUACGACGGGUAGCCGGUCUGAGAGGAUGAACGGCCACACUGGAACUGAGAGACGGUCCAGACUCCUACGGGAGGCAGCAGUGAGGAAUUUUGCGCAAUGGGGGAAACCCUGACGCAGCAACGCCGCGUGAGUGAUGAAGGCUUUCGGGUCGUAAAGCUCUGUCAAGUGGGAAGAACCUACUUAUGGUUAAUACCCAUGAGUACUGACGGUACCACUGAAGGAAGCACCGGCUAACUCCGUGCCAGCAGCCGCGGUAAUACGGGGGGUGCAAGCGUUAUUCGGAUUUACUGGGCGUAAAGCGCGCGCAGGCGGUUUUGUAAGGCAGAUGUGAAAGCCCUGGGCUCAACCCGGGAAGUGCAUCUGAUACUGCAAGACUUGAGUAUGGGAGAGGGAAGUGGAAUUCCUGGUGUAGAGGUGAAAUUCGUAGAUAUCAGGAGGAACAUCGGUGGCGAAGGCGACUUCCUGGACCAAUACUGACGCUGAGGCGCGAAGGCGUGGGGAGCAAACAGGAUUAGAUACCCUGGUAGUCC
rnacentral:rRNA from 1 species